AAAAAAUUGUAUUUUAACUCCAAGUCUGAGCUAUUCAAAUUACUUGGUUGGCUUUUGUAUAUGUAUCAAUCUACCAUUACUUAUUUUAUUUUAAAAAUGGUUGCUACAGUUUUAUAAUGCUUUUUUAUUCUUUUUUUCCUGUGGAAGACAGAUAGGACCUGUAGAAGCAAACUCAGUGACGAAGGGAUAAAACACAGAAAACUGGAGAACCAAAUCAAGUUACCUUAAAAAUCUGGACCUACAUGGCUUGUGACCCUAAGGUGACACAGUAUUCCAGACUAUGGGAUUUGUAACUGACUAUAUCCUAAGAAGUCUUUCACUCAGACUGAAAGCACAUUCACUUGGAUGAACUUCAUGGUACUGAAGCACCUUAAAAGCAUCAAGUUACCAAUAACAAGAAUUGGACCACAUAGUCUGAGUUCCACCAGGCUGUCAAAUCGUCUACUACUUUUCUUGAAGGAGCCUUAUUUUGGACAGAGACAUCAGAUUGGCACUGGUGAGUUCUUCAGCUUCAUGCACAGUAACUGGCCCAUGUGAACGGACGAGAUUUUAUUACAUAGAAACAUUUAAUGUUAUAAAAUUAAUAUCUCACAGCAGGUAUAAAAUAAAUGUCCAAUAUGAGGAUUGAAGAAACUGUCCUCCCAAGAAAUCAAUCAGUGUGGAUUGGAACAUAAAGCAGUGAAAGAUAAGUGAAAGACAACAAGAACCUUAGCACAACAGCAGAAAAUAACCAAAUAAUUGAACUAGUAAUUAUGUUUUUUUGUUAUUGUUAUGAAAUAUUAAUGAUUUUCAUGAAACCAGGAAAAAUUGCGGUAAAUCAAAUACUAAUAAAGUAAAACUAUAUUAUAGUUUAAAAUUUAAGACUGUUGUCUUAAGAGACCAAAGGAGUGGAGAAAAGAGGGAGAAAGUUAAAAGUCCUCUGCAUACAAAAAAUGGGUCAAGCCACUGAAUUGUUCUGGGCAAGCACUUGAUCAAAUCUUAUAACUUCCCUCUCCUUUAUUCUUCUUUUGUAUACAUACACUUUUGAAGUGCAACUUACCUUAAAAACAAAAUGUCCAUAAAUUCAAAACUCCUAAGAUAAAAACAGCUAUAUCCAUUCAAUAAGAAAUGUUCAUCAGAGCUUGGACAAAUCAUUAUGCAGAGGAUAUUCUAGGAGAAAGCACUGAAGCAAUCAAACUUAAACCAGCUGCAGAAAUAAAAAAGAAAAUUAUAGCUUUGGCAAAUGAAUGCUAGUAAUUAUAUUUCCAUCACUUUGUAUUAUAUUGUUUGUCUUCUUGGGCUAAGAUUGAACUUAUUCAGUCUGAACCAUUCUGAUUGUUAGAACUUGGGCAAAGGGACUGCUCAGAAGAAGCCCUGAAGGAAAGUAAAACCAUGUGUUCACACUGUAAUGGAUCAUAUCUGAAAAGUGAAAGAAAAUUGGGAAAUCAGCCUGGAUCUCUUGAACGGUUUGUGAUUCAAUCCCACUUCAUGAAUAUAAUUUGACAUUCUCUUUGAAGAAAAAACACUUAUCUGGCUACUACAGGACAAGCCUGAACGUGGUGAUGACAAGUGUGACAUGGAACCAUCAUGGUCUUACUGGAGCUCAGGCCAUGGAAAUGUUUAGGAUCCUGCAAUUGCAACUGAACCUUAACACCAAAACCAUGAAUCCAAUUAGCUGCAUGAAAGAAGCAGACAAAAUAUUUCCAGUGAGAUAAGCAUAGAUUAUGGUUUUCUUCUGGUUCUUUUCACAACUGCCAAAAGAAUCCUCAAUACCAAUGCAUUGACAGGAGCACCUAUAUUUCUUCACCCUUAAAGAUUGGGUUUUUUGCAUACCACCACAAAAGUUUUGGAUGAACCACAGAAGCAGGAAAAGUGUUUUCUUCUUAAAGACUCUGGGACUUUGUAGUGAAGAAGAUUUCAAGAUUGAGAUAACCUGAACCUUUGUAUCAUAGAUUUUUUUUUUUACUGCAGAAUUUGUGGAGGUUUUUUCAUGUUUGCAUGCAAAGGAGUAUUACUGUAUGUGUAAA